rnacentral:rRNA from 1 species
CAGUAGCCGCGGUAAUACGUAGGUGGCAAGCGUUGUCCGGAAUUAUUGGGCGUAAAGCGCGCGCAGGUGGUUUAAUAAGUCUGAUGUGAAAGCCCACGGCUCAACCGUGGAGGGUCAUUGGAAGCUGUUAAACUUGAGUGCAGAAGAGGAGAGUGGAAUUCCACGUGUAGCGGUGAAAUGCGUAGAGAUGUGGGGGAACACCAGUGGCGAAGGCGACUCUCUGGUCUGUAACUGACGCUGAGGAGCGAAAGCGUGGGGAGCGAACAGGAUUAGAUACCCCUGUAGUCCCUGUCUCUUAUAC